UGGGGGAAAGCCAAGCAAGUCCUGGAAUUAUUAAAGGAGACCUCAGCCCCUGUGUGUACCAAGAAAGGACAUAGGCUGUGACCCAUACUGCAGACAAGCUCUUAUUUCAAAGCGUCUCCCUGAUGCCAGAAACACUGCCAGCCUCCCCAUUUUCUCAGGAUCCGGAAGUUACAGUGGGAAAGGCUGACGAAGCCGAGUGUGAAGGACAGAAUCCACAGGAAAUGCAGGUCUGCUUCCAAGCACAUAAACAAGGCAAGCCCUGCUCA